rnacentral:rRNA from 1 species
GACGAACGCUGGCGGCGUGCCUAAUACAUGCAAGUAGAACGCUGAAGGAGGAGCUUGCUUCUCUGGAUGAGUUGCGAACGGGUGAGUAACGCGUAGGUAACCUGCCUGGUAGCGGGGGAUAACUAUUGGAAACGAUAGCUAAUACCGCAUAAGAGUAGAUGUUGCAUGACAUUUGCUUAAAAGGUGCAAUUGCAUCACUACCAGAUGGACCUGCGUUGUAUUAGCUAGUUGGUGGGGUAACGGCUCACCAAGGCGACGAUACAUAGCCGACCUGAGAGGGGGAUCGGCCAAACUGGGAAUGAGACACGGCCCAGACUCCUACGGGAGGCAGCAGUAGGGAAUCUUCGGAAAUGGACGGAAGUCUGACCGAGCAACGCCGCGUGAGUGAAGAAGGUUGUCGGAUCGUAAAGCUCUGUUGUAAGAGAAGAACGAGUGUGAGAGUGGAAAGUUCACACUGUGACGGUAUCUUACCAGAAAGGGACGGCUAACUACGUG